rnacentral:lncRNA from 1 species
GUUUUUUUCAUAAAGUUAGUCAAAUUUUAAAAAAUUUGAUUCGCACGGAUUAUAGGAGUUGAAACUUUCAGAAAGUAGUAUGAGAAGUUGAUUGGUAACUUGUGUCAUGUAUAAGAUCUUGGUAGAUGAACAGUGAUGAAUCCUUUCCUAAAAAAGAUAUGGUAGAUGAGAGGUGGUUCAACUGUUGUUGCUCACGUUUUGGACGCAUACAUGCUGGCCGUACCCGCGAAUCUUCCGGUCCGAACGUUCGGACCGGAGUCUCCGUCCGAUGGUUUCUCGCGCGAUGACUUCCCGCGCGUGAGCAAGGUAUGUACGUUUCUUUUUUAUUUUUUCUUUCUUUUUUAUGUUUCUUUUCUUUUUCCCUCCCGAUCUCGUUGCUGUUAGUUUUCUUGUCUUUUUUUUGUUUCUUUUUUCUUUUUCUUUUUCUUGCUAUAUUUUUUUCUUUAAUUUCUUUUCUUUUUUCUUUCUUUUUUUUAUUUUAUAUUCCGUUUGGUUUUUUUAUCUUUUAUGUGCUUUAUUUUUAUUUUCCUUUUUUGUUUUAUAUUAUUCUUUGUUUUGUAUCUUUAUUUUUUUAUCUUAUUCUUAUUAUUUUCUUUGAUGUUUACGUGCUGCUGUUCUAUUUUUUUUAUUUUUUCUUUUGAUUUUGUUUUUCCUUUUAUUUUUUAAUUAUGUUUUCUUUUAUUCAUGUUUUAUUUCUUAAUCUUUUUUUUCUUUUCUUUAAUUUCUUUUUUUUUCAUUUUAUAUUCCAUUUGAUUCUUUUUCUAUUUUUUUUGUGCUUUAUUUUUAUUUUCAUUUUUUUAUAUUAUCCUUUGUUUGGUAUAUUUUAUCUUUUUCUUAUUGUUAUUAUUUUCUUUGAUGUUCACGUGCUGAUGUUCUAUUUUUAUUUUUUUCCUUUUAAUUUUGUUUUUUCUUUUAAUUUUUAAUUAUGUUUUCUUUUAUUCAUGUUUUAUUUCUUAAUCUCUCUUUGUUAUUAAUCUUUUUUUACAUCAUAUGCGAUGUUCUAUAAUACAUUAAGUGUUGUUUCAUGAUUAAUUCAGCGAUGUUUACUUACUAUACAUACAAUAUUCUAUAAUGUGUUGAGUGAUGUUCUAUUGUGAAUUUAGUGAUGUUCGCUUAGUACACGUGUGGUGUUCUAUGAUAUAUCUAGUGAUGUUCACGUAAUAUAUAUACAAUGUUCCAUAAUGUAUUAAAUAGUGUUCUAUAGUGUAUUUAGUGAUGUUCAGUUUAGUACACAUGUGAUGUUUUAUAGUUUAUUUUUAGGAUGUUUUAAAACUAUCCAUAUGAUGUUCUUUUAAAAUUUUCUCUAUUACGUGUUUUUUCCUUAUGCUUUGCUCUAGAUUUUAUUUUUUUUGUUUACAUGAUGUAUUUAUUUAUUUAUUUAUUUUAAAUAUUAUAAUAACAGUUUCAUGAAUCUAAACUAGAACACUAUUUUUUAAACUAAGAACAUUUUUCUUACAAAGGUGGAACAUUUCUUUUAUGAACCUAGAACAUUAUCUAUCAUAAAUAAAAAUAUUAUAUCUUUAUAAGAUAAAUGUUUAUUAAUAAAAUUUUAUUUAAAUAUAUCCAUGUGAGAUCUUGUUUUGAAGGAUUUAUUAUAAGAAACACUAUAGUGUAAUCGGAUUUUGAUUUAGAUAUUUAGUUUAGUAGCUAUGACUUUUUAAAUUUUGUUGAUGAAAGUGGAGAAUAUAUGGAUGAGGUGGGCCCUGUAGGAUGGACAGCCUCUGUCAACCGCUAGCUGUGCUACACUGCUACUCUGAUCCUAUAGAAUAGACAGACUUUAUUCUAGUUUGUGCAUGCAUGUCUUAUCUAUGCUAAUUUUUUUUGCAUCUAUGCUAAUUAAUUUCUGGAACCAAGUAUGUGCAAUGUUGUUCAUGGGCUAUGGCAACACAACAUGAUGUUCUUUAAUUUUUUUCUAUUACAUGUUUCUUAUAUUUUUUUCCUUAUGAUCCGCUGAAGAUUUUUCAUUAUUAUUUGGUUUAUGUUAUGUACUUAUUUAUAUAUAUAUGAUAUAUAUGUAAUAUUAUAUGAUGUUUUUUGUGAUGUUCUCGUAAUAUACAUGUUAUGUUCUCGUAGUAUAUAUGCGAUGUUCGAUGAUGUAUUUAGUGGUGUUCUUUUAAUAUAUAUGUCAUGUUCUGUGAUAUCUUUUAUGUUCACAUAGAAUACAUAUAUGUUUACGAUAUUCACGUAAUAUAUAUGUGAUGUUCUCGUGUUAUAUAUGUGAUAUUUUAUGAUGUUUUUUGUGAUGUUCGCACAAUAUACAUGUGAUGUUCUAUGAUGUAUUUAAUGAUGUUCGCUUAAUAUAUAUGCGAUGUUCUAUAACAUAUUCAGCGAUGUUCCAUUGCGUAUUUAGUGAUAAUUACUUAAUAAACAUGUGAUAUUCUAUUGUAUAUUAGUAUUUUAAGAUAUUUGAAGAGUAUUCAGAUGGUAUUCUUUUAUUUUUUUCUCUAUUAUGUUUUCUCCUUAUGCAUUACUCUAGAUUUUAUUUGUUUUUAUUUAUACUAUGUAUGUAUGUAUUUGUUUAUUAUUUAUUAUUUUAUGUACAUUAUAAUAUAAUACCAAUAUGGUUCUUAGAAUGUUUUCUUAUGAAGACGGAAUAUUGUUUUUAAACCUAAAACAUCAUCUAAGCUCAAUACAAAAAUAUUCUAUUUUUAUAUAAUAAAUAUUUGUUAUUUAAAAUUUUAUCUAAAUAUAUUCAUGUGGGAUCUUGUUUUGAAGGAUUUAUUAUAAGAAAUCUAAUGGUGUAAUCGGAAUUUAAUUUGGAUAUUUUGUUUAGGAGUUAUGACUUUUUUUAUUUGUUGAAAACUAUUUUGUGCAUGGUGUGACGUGGAUAUGCUGCUGCACUAUUUCAUUGUACCAGCAGUACAUGAGAAAGCUACGAGCCACGAGCGCGGGCUACAGAAAAGUACAAUAAAUAUCUAAUCUUGAAACAGUGUGAAGAAACAGUCCGAAAAAAUAUACGCGCCAGCGCCAUACGCGUGCAGACUUUUGGACGGGAAUCUGCCGGACGAGUGAUUCGGUCCGAAGUGCCGGACCGGAAGGGCCCCCGUAACUUUACACCAUUUGAGACAUUUUCACAAAAUGAUGGGCACCUGGGCGUGCACGGCGAGCACCUGCGAGGAACAAGAAAUCUGAGCGAGCAAUUCUUGAUCCCUCCCCCGCAGCAGAACUCGAGCACUGGUCCGCCGUCACCACGAACUAGCACUGCGUACGCUCUUGCCCUCUCCAAGAAAUCUGCAUACGCUCUUGCCCUCUCCACGAACCAGCAC